UUUUAUAUUGCAAUUGAGUAGUAUGAAAUCGUGUGCAUGAAUGUGAACUUUAAUUUUGCAAUGGUACUAUCUUGUGAAAGUUUGCUAUAUGAAGAAUUGGGUCAUUUAAAAAAGCCAACAAUCUGUAUGAAGAUAGGAUUCUUGAAGGUCAUCCUUCACUGGAGAAAUCACUGAUAGAUUUCUCAGAGGUAUAUAUAACUCAGCAAACUUCAAGCUCAGCUCUUAAAAGAUGUAUAUCAUAAUUUUUUUUUUCUUCUAUUAAAAAAUGUAUAUCAUACUGUAGUUUUACAUUUAUCCACUCUAUUUGUUGUAGUGCAUGUAAAUGUAUGUGUAUGAUACUUGUAGUGCAUGUAAAUAUGUCUGAACUUGUUUUGGUAUUGGUUUCUGAAUCUGUUUUGGUAUUGGUUUUGGUUAUGAAUUUUGGAAUUGGUUUCUGUUUUGAAAUUGGUUUCAGUUGUGAUUGAAUGUUAUGUUUUUGUUUCCAUUGUGAUUGAAUGAUUUGCUUCUAAUAUGCAUUUUUGAUCCGUUUUAUACAGAUGGAAGAUUGUCUUGAUUCAAGUGGCAGCGUUCUCUUGGGGAGGAAAUUGCUAACUUUCAGCUAAAAUUCAGUUAUAAGAGAAGAUGUCGAAUUUUGCUGAUAGAUAUAAAAUGUGUUAAAAUUCUCGACCAAGAGCAAAUGUAAAAUUUUUGUUUUUUGCCAUUUUCUUAUGUAUAUUUUAAGAUAUAAUGAGAUAACAUAAUUAGUUCAUCAAUUUAUGAAAGUCAAGUUAGAAGGAAAUUUGUCAAUCUCUAGUUUCCAUGGUUUUAUCGUUCCCCUUGCAAAGAAGAAAAAAAUACAAAUGUAACCAAAUUAGUGAUUCAAUUGGCAAAUGCCAUGACAGAUAUGUAUUGC
rnacentral:lncRNA from 1 species